AGUCUUAUUAUUAUUAUUAUUUUCUUUAAGUGAUAUAGGUUGAAUUACUUAAUUAAAUAAUAAUAUCAAUAGUAACGAUAGCGGCCAAAUCGAGUAUUAAGGUAUAGUUUUGUGAUAUGUAGCUAUGUUGAGAAAUUUGAGAUUAGUUUGGACUUAUAGCAUUGAUAGAAUUUUAGUGGAUUUUCUUUGAAUGAUAUUAAGUAUAUGGAAGACACUUGCAAAUGGCUUACGUGUAGCAUUAAGAAUAAAACAUGGAUGGAUGGUAUCUUUUGGUUAGUCAUCAAGCCAAUAAAGACUUGGUCAAAUGGUAAGGUGGCACACUUAGAGCUUAUGGAGUAAAUAGCUAACAACAUAUAUAUAAAUAAUGCUUAUUAAUCAUGUUUUGGCAAUGCAUGAAAAUAAACUCUCCUUUAUUCUAGUCUUGACCGAGUAUGAAGGGACCCUUAAACAAAUUAUUGUUUUGAAAUACCUUUCAACUUAUUUAAUUGAUUUUAAAAUGUAAGGUUAGUAGUCAGGUCGCUAAGGGACGUUAGUGUAGUUAGUUAAAGGGUUAUAAAUACCACUCAACUCAUAUACUUCACUCACUUAAGCUCUCUCGUAUAAUCAAUAUAAUUCUCUUGUCCCUUGUGUUCUCCAUAGAUCAAACCAUUACUAUACACCACCAUCUUUCUUCUCACACUUUAAAAGGCCAAGCUCUCCCAUCAUCACUCUAAUUUCCUCGUACCCUUGUGCCUUGUAUACAUAGUCACAUAUUACUCUACAUCCCACAUCUUAUUCCAUAUAAGCACUAUAUAUAGGCCAUCCAUACACCAUCAUUAUUUCCCAUAUCUUCCAUAAACCAUAAUAGUGCCUACAAAUUCUAAAAUCAUUAUCAUUUUGUUUCUAAGUUUCAAGAUCAUCUCAAACUACUCGUGAGCUUACACAAGGCUUGGGCUCGGGUAGCUAGAUCUUCUUUAAGAGCUAAGGUUUUCAUAAGAAGAUUAUUGGUUCUCAAAUAUCUCUCUCAUUGCAAUCAAGGUUAAGACUCCACAUUCGAGACCAAAGUAACUAAAAGUCUAGAAUGCCGGUGGCGAGUGGAACUUUGGACGCUUGUGUGUGUGAGCUCGCUGAGGGCCAUAUAACUGCGGGCGGUCUAGGGCGCUCUAUUUAUUUAUUUACGUUAUUAAACUUAUGUCGCAAUUAUUUUAGUUAUUAAUUAUUAUGUCUUUUAUACGAAAACUGGCCAGUUGUGAACAUUUUCAAGUAUUAAAUAAAAAUGCGACAUUAUGAUUUUCCGCGUUUAA